GCGGGUCCCCCAAGCCUCAGCAUGAAGCAACUUUCCAGAGCACCAGAUCCUUCUCCCUUCUCAGUGGCCAGCGUAUCUCUGGCAUUCAGGAUUCCAUUCCGGCUGGCUGCCAAACAGGAGAGCUACAAACCAGAAGAAGAGGGUAAGAACAGGAUUCCAGAGGACCUUACCCUGGGGUCCAGUCUCUUGGGUUAAAUUAUAAUACGUUACUAAAAACUGUUAAUUUCUCUUCAAUUAGUUUUCUAUUCAGUACAUCAGAAAAUGCUUCCUUCUUCCUAAAUAGGUUAGUGUGCCAUAAAAAGUCAUACUUUUGCUAUAUCCUAUGUUUUCCAAAAACCUUUUAUAGUGGCUCUUUGGGCACUCAUCUGCCUGCUUCUAAAUUAUCUUGCAUAGAUCUUUCUUCAGACAAUAGGAUCUUCCAGAGCAGGAUCUCUUUCUAGUUAAUCUUGUGUGCCUGAUAAUAGUAAUAGGAGUAGUAAUUCUUUUCUAAAAUUUUUUAUUUUAAUUCCAGUACACUUAACCUACAGUGUUAUAUUUGUUUCAGGUGUACAAUAUAAACAUUUCCACACAACACCCGGGCUAGUUGUGGUAAAAGGAUAAUCUUAAUCCCCUUCACCUAUUUCACCCACUCCCCACCUCCCUCCCCUCUGGUAACCUUUACUUUAUUCUCUAUAGUUAAGAGUCUGUCUUUUGGUUUGUCUCUUUUUUCCUUGUUCAUUUGUUUUGCUUCUUAAAUUCCACAUAUGAGUGAGAUCAUAUGAUAUUUGUUUUUCUCUGAUGGACUCAUUUCACUUAGUAUUAUACCCUCCAUAUCUAUCCAUGUUGUCGCAAAUGGCAAGAUUUUGUUCUUUUUAUGGCUGAGUAAUAUUCCAGUGUGUGUGUGUGUGUGUGUGUGUGUGUGUGUGUGUGCGUGUGUGCGUGUGUGCACCACAUCUUUUUUUUAUGCAUUCAUCUAUUGAGGGACACUUCUUCCAUUCAAUAGGUUGCUUUUUAAUAUUGUUGGCUAUUUCUUUGGCUGUACAGAAGCUUUUUAUAUUGACACAGUCCCAAUAGUUUAUUUUGCCUUUUAUUUUCCUUGCCUCAGGAGCCAUAUCUAGGAAACUGUUGCUAUGGCUUUUGUCAGAGAAAUUUUUGCCUGUGUUCUCUUCUAGGAUUUUUAUGUUUUCAGGUCUCACAUUUAGAUCUUUAACCCAUUUUGAGUUUAUUUUUGUGUAUGGCGUGAGAAACUGGUCCGCUUUCAUUCUUUUGCAUGUGGCUGUCCAGUUUUCGCAACACCAUUUGUUGAAGAGGCUGUCUUUUUCUCAUUGCCAUAUUCUCACCUCCUUUACCAAAGGCUAAUUGACCGUAUAAUCAUGGGUUUAUAUCUGGGCUCUCUAUUCUGUUCUAUUGAUCUAUGUGUCUAUUUUAUACCAGUACAUUACUAUUUUGAUUACUACAGCUUUGUAGUAUGUCUUGAUAUCUGGGACUGUGACACCUCCAGCUUUGUUCUUCUUUUUCAAGAUUGCUUUGGCUUCGGGGCACCUGGGUGGCUCAGUCGGUUGAGCAUCCGACUUCAGCUCAGGUCACGAUCUUGCAGUUCGUGAGUCUGAGCCCCGCGUUGGGCCCUUUGCUGACGGCUCGGAGCCUGGAGCCUGCUUCGGAUUCUGUGUCUCCCUCUCUCUCUGCCCCUCCCCAACUUGUGCUCUGUCUCUCUCUGUCUCUCAAAAAUCAAUAAAUGGAAAAAACAUUUUUUAAAAAUUAGAAAAAAAAGAUUGCUUUGGCUUCUUGGGGUCUUUUGUGAUUCCAUACACAUGUUAAGAUUAUUUGUUCUACUUCUAUGAAGAAUGUUGUUGGUAUUUUGAUAGGCAUUGCUUUAAAUCUGUAGAUUGCUUUGGGUAGUAUGGACAUUUUAACAACAUUGAUUGUCCCAAUCCACAAGCAUGGUAUACCUUCCCAUUUGUUUGUGUUGUCUUCAAUUUCUUUCAUUAAUGUUUUAUAGUUUUCAGAGUACGUGUUUUUCACUACCUUGGUUAAGUUUAUUCCUAGGUAUUUUAUUAUUUUUGGUGCAACUAUAAAUGGGAUGAUUUUCUUAAGUCCUUUUUCUGCUGCUUCAUUGUUAGUGUCUAGAAAUGCAAUGAAUUUCUGCAUAUAGAUUUUGUAGCCCGCAACCAUAAUGAAUUCAUCUAUCAGUUCUAGUAGUUUUUGGGUGGAGUCACUAGGGUUUUCUAUAUGCAGUACCAUGCCAUCUGCAAAGAGUUUUACUUCUUCUGUAUCAAUCUGAAUGCCUUUUAUUUCUUUUUGUUGUCUGACCGCUGUGGCUAGGACUUCCAGUACUAUGUUGAAUACAAAUAGUGAGAGUGGACAUCCUGGUCUUAUUCCUGACCCAAGGGGAAAAGCUCUCAGUUUUUCCCUAUAGAGUAUGAUGUUUGCUGUAGGUUUUUCAUAAAUAACCUUUAUGGUGUUGAAGUACGUUCCGCCUAAACCUACUUUGUUGAAGGCUUUUAUCAGGAACGGUUGUUGUACUUUGUCAAAUGCCUUUUCUACAUCUAUUGAGAUGAUCAUAUGGGUUUUAUCCUUCUCUUAUUAACAUGAUGUAUCAUGUUGAUUGUUUUGUAAAUAUCAAACCACCUUGCAUCCCUGGAAUCAAUCCCACUUGAUUAUGAUGAGUGACUUUUUAAAUGUAUUGUUAGAUUCGGUUUGCUAAUAUUUUGCUGAGGAUUUUUGCAUAUCUAUUCAUCAGAAAUAUUGGCCUAUAGUUCUCUCUCUCUCUCUCUCUCUCUCGGUAAUGUCUUUAUCUGGCUUUGUAUCAGGGUGAUGCUGGCUUCAAAAAUUGAAUUUGGAAGCUUUCCUUCCUUUUCUAUACUUUUGGAAUAGUUUGAGGAGAAUAGGUAUCCACUCUUCUUUCAAUAUUUGAUAGAAUUCACCUGUGAAGCUGUCUGGUCCUGGACUUUUGUUUGUUGGGAGUUUUUUUCUUUUUUAAAUUACAGACUCAUUUUCAUUGCUGGUGAUCAGUGUGUUCAAAUUUUCUAUUUCUUCCUGAUUCCGUUUUGGAGGUUAUAUAUUUCUAGGAAUUUACCCAUUUCUUGUAGAUCGUCCAAUUUGUUGACAUCUACCGUUUCAUAAUGUUCUUGCAAUCCUUUGUAUUUCCGUGGUGUCAAUUGUUUGUUUUUUAAAUUUUGUUUUUGAUGUUUAUUUAUUCUUGAGACAGAGAGAGACAGCAUGAACAGGGGAGGGGCAGAGAGAGAGGGAGACACAGAAUCCAAAACAGGCUCCAGGCUCCGAGCUGUCAGCACAGAGCCCAAUGCAGGGCUUGAACCCAUGGACCGUGAGAUCAUGACCUGAGCCAAAGUCAGACGCUCAACCGACUGAACCACCCAGGCACCUCUCCGUGGUGUCAGUUGUUAUUUCUCCUCUUCCAUUUAUGAUUUUGUUUAUUGGAGUCUUCUCUUUCUCUCUUUUUCUGGAUACUGUAGGUGUAAGGUUAGGUUGUUUCUUUGAGAUUCUUCUUGCUUCCUGAGGUACGCCCGUAUUGCUCUAAACUUUCCUCUUAGAACAGCUUUUGCUGCAUCUCAAAGAUUUUGGAUCAUUGUGUUUUCAUUUUCAUUUACCUCCAUCGAUGUUUUGAUCUCCUCUUUGAUUUCUUGGCUUGUUCAUUAAUUGUUUUGUAGCGUGUCAUUUAACCUCCAUGUAUUUUUGUUCUUUCCAAGAUUUUUUCUUGUGAAUGAUUCUUAAUAUGAGCAUAAUGCAUCACAAUUUUCAAAGGAUGUUCAUGCACCCUAUCUCACUUUAUUUUCACAUGUUGGUAAAGUAUACGUAUUAGAAGUUUAGGUCUAAAGACAUUUACAAGACUCACUUGGUAUCAUAAAACUAAUAAGCUGUGACUCUGGAUCUAGAAUAUAGAACUCUUAUUGCUACCAAUGUUAAAAAACAGUAUAAUAAUAAUAAGAAGAAGAUUUUUAAAAUCCAUUAAACUUAGUGAUUACAAAGUCAUUGGAGAUAUUCAUGAGUAUAGUUUCUGUAGCAUAGUGGUAAUAAAAGCAGUUUUAAAAGUCUGUAGUAUGUCUCACAGUAAGAAAAUGGAAAAAGAAAAUUAACUUGAGGAUUUUGAUAGUAAAAUGGAGACAGGUAAAAAGAUCAGGUUGAUGGAGUUGCAGGUCAAGAGCCUGUUUUUAGGUCAUAAAAUAUGAGCAUAUUGACAUGUAAUAAGAGAGCAAAAAGGCUAGAAAAACUAUAUCAGCAUGGUAUAAAGAGUAUCUUCCCGAAGAGUUGUUUUGAGAGAAGAGAGAAAUAAAGACAAAAGUGUCUAGAAAGAGAGAAUUUGAUCUCAACGUCUCUCUUUAAAUUGCAUUUUUGAGAAAAUACCACAGCGGCUGAUUUCAAAUUAAAAAUACAUGAAGAUGUUCUACAGACGUAUCUUCUAUUCAUUCAACAGAUGUUGGUUAAGUCUCUGCUGUAUGGUAGGCACUGUUUAUCCUUGGAUUUAACUUCUCAGCAAUGAUUCUCUGAAGUAGUUGUUUCGAUCCCCACUUUUCUGAUGGGGAAACUGAGUCUAUCAAGUCUGUGAUUUUCCUAAGGUCUCCCAGCUAACCCAGGGACAGGCCAGUGUCUCACAGGAGCUCUUCCCAGCACAUUAACCCCCCUUGCAGAGGAUUUACCACCUACUAGGCCAGUAAGACAGGUAAAGUGGGCAAUUAUGGAUACCCUGGAUACACCCACAUGGGGGCUGUGAGGCUCCUAUCCACCUGGAGACCAUCAGAGGAGGCUUCGUAAGAUAAAACAGUUUAAAAUAUCUCUUUGAGAUAUUUAAGAAGCCAUUUCAAAUACGCAGCAAAUGUUCUAUUUUUAACUGCCUUGUUUUUCUGAAAUUCUCGCAAUGCCUUUGAGAAAGGCGUUGCAGGAAGGAAACUGGUGUUAGCUACUUUGUCCUCUAGUGCAGUUCUUUCUGGAGCCACCGUGUGGUAUUGUUGUGCAAUGAAAAUAGCUCCGUCUUCCGGCAACCUGGCCUUCCCUUGCCCAGUUCCAAUCUGAGUAUCUUCUCUGAAUAUUACCUGUCAAUUCCGUAAUAGGUGCUUGUAUCCUUUCCCUGACGUAGGGCUUUAUAAAUGUCUACGUUCCCCACUUUCUCUAGAAGCUGAGGGAAAUGGCUGGCCAAAUACAUUUGUUCAGACAAAAAGCCACUAGGGCAUCUGUUCCCCUGUCACUGUUUCAAAGAAAAAGGACACUUGUCUACCUGUGGGCUGGCCGCCCUUUAUCACAGCAUCACAGGGGAUAGCAGUAGUCAGCCCAGACUCUGUUGAAGCGACCCCAUGGCCAGGGCAUAGGAUAGCACCACUCGGAUGCACUGGCUUGAGCUGGUUCUUUGAUGCUCCGCAGCUCUUCCAUCAUGAAAGCCACAUAAAAGCACAUGAAAAAUUAGGUCUCACAUCGUCACCCCCUAAGGGAAAGCUAUCGCUGGGGGAGGGCAGUUCACACUGGCUGGGAUUUGUGGAAGGAGAACACUGAGCUUUGGAAUUUGCACAGGAAGUCCUGGAAUCUCCUUGGAAACCUCUGGAAAGGGUUGGGUCUCAAAUUUCCCAUCUGUCCUUGAAAGAUUAUCCUUGUUUUCUACCCAUCAGGAUCACCAUCGUUACUGUUUAUUAAAUUCUUAUUGGCUUUACAUUAUUUUGCCGUCCCGUCUGGAUACGCUAAAGGACAAUUGCUCAGACACCAUCUGAGAUUGUGUUGGAAGUGAAACGACACCUCAAAUCAAAUGGAAAGGGUGUGCUUAAGGCAAAUAACCGUACAACCUCUAAUACUUUUGUAUUGCUGAGGAGUUUUCAAAGUAUCUUCUCAUGCAUUAUCUCUUUCGAUCUCACAGCAACUCUGGAAGGCAGGUAUGACGUUUAGUGAUUUUCCUCAAGUCACCAAGUGACAAAGGCAAGGUGGAACUCAGGCUUCUGAUGCUCAGUACAUUGUGUUUCCAGCAUGCCUCAGCUACCCAGGCUAAGAGGCAGAAUAUAACAAACAAAUUGUACGCUCAGUAAAUGGAGUUUGGGACACAAGGCAAGGAAAAGGCAUGACAGGGGACAGAGUAUUGGGGAAACAAAGGACAGUGAGAUUUCACUGAUCAAAAUAUAGUACAUGCUUGGAACUCCCUUUUGGUAGAAAUCUCAUAAAAUAGCUGGGUAGGCUGCAGGGAAGUUGAUUCCACAACUUACGAAAAUCUCAUCAGCUAAUGUUUGUCAUGAUGUCUUUCAUUUGAAAAUGUGCUUUGCACAUGUGAGUGCCUAAUAAAUGCUACUUGAUAAUGACAAUGAGGACUGAUGAACUGAAAUCACCUUUGGCACUGAACUUGUCAGCUUUCACAUGAGCUGCAUGUGAUGAGGCACCCUGCAUCCCAUUACCAGCUUGCUGAGCAUUUGAGUCUGUAAUAGUCACUUUUAGAACCCACUGUGGUGGGGGUACAAGGGCUGGUAACACAAGGCCAUAUACACGCAAUGCCAAUCAUCCCGAUGAGAACUGAAAAAUUCAGUCAAUCAUCUAGGGAUCUAUCCACAUGACACCAAACAUCUGGAUCCCUGAGUGUUUCCAGUUUUCACCAGCUUGGUGCCAUGUAGAUGCUUACACUGACUCAUAGAGGCCAGUAAUGCUCCAAGAUAAAUAAACUUUUACAUAGCAUGGCACAUUUGGGGCCACAAGAGUGUAUUCCAUUCAUUCCUUCGCUCAGUAAACACAUUUGUAAGAGGGAGAACUAUGUGUCACCAAUCACUGUUCUGGUACAAGGGACCAAACAUAUACAAAGUCCUCAUGAUCUAAUUCAGGAAGACAGUGAUUAUAAUGCACGGUAAUAAAGUCUAUCACAAAGACGUAAACAAAAUGCCAAGAGAAUGCAAAGCGGAAAUGAGCUAUCUCUGUCUAACAGAGCCUGCAAAGCUUCAAAGAUGAGGUAGCAUUUGAACCAGGCUUUGUGACACGUCAGCAGAGUAGGCGUGGGUGUUCCAGGUGAAAAAGAAAGUCAGGGAGUAGCAUAUAGGAAGACAAAGACAUUCUUAAAAGCACUUUUUAGAAAAAAUGAGAAAUUAAGAGGGGAGUAGAACUUGAGGUAUAUUGGCUAUACCUUCUCGAGGUCCUGUGCAUUAGAGGACCAGGCUUCAGUCGGCCUCCACCUACACACCUUCCAUGAACCAAGAAGUCCUUGGGAAAGAGAACAUACUCACUCAGAGCUCAUACCCAUGCCCUCCCCACCACCCUACCCUUAUCCUUUGCAGACCACAGUCUGCUUUCCCAGGGUCAAAAUGCCCCUGUCCAAAUGGCCCCCAAACAUACUGGAGAGCUUGCAAAGGCCUUUCCCCCAAAUCCAUCCUUCCAAAUGCAGACCACGUGAUUGAUGAGAGCACCCACGGGCUGAGAUGAAGCCAAAGAGGGUGAGCGUGUGGUCAAGCUUGGAUGCAUGAGCUAGAGUCCACAUGGUGUGUAUGAGGUCCCUCACGUUGUGGCUGAAGCUGAAUGUCGGCUGUAACCAGGGGCUGGGAGCAGCCACCCCACAUGCUUAAGAGUGGAACUCACAAGAGUCCAAGAAAUCUAAUUUAGAAGGUAGACUGCCAGAUUGUUGUAAAGGCAGGAUACUCAACGUGGGAUAGUACAGCAUGUAUUAUUUAACAGUCUGUUAUCUUGUUUUAUAACUUUAAAUAUCUAAAUGCCUGUUAUGUGAGCUUCCACUGAUAGCCUUGACCUGCAUUUUAUAAAUUUUAGAGACAAGUCUGUAUUUUGGGGAAACUGGUUAGAGAAGGAGCUGGAAAGGCUGGGUCCAGACUGUGAAGGGUUUUACAUGAAAGGCUUGGCAUAGACUUUUCUAAAAAUACCUUUGUGAGAUGUCAAAUGGCUCAAACUUCCCUCUUUCAUAUCUUCUCCAACUGCUCCUGCUCUCAGAGAUGCCUUUCUUUUCCAAGCUACUAUUAUGACGAUUGGCCACAACAUAGAGGUGAGCUCUUAAUUAGACUAUCGAAUUGAUUCAUGAAUAUCAUCUUAACUCCCCUACCUGACUAUUAGCUCUAAUGUAAGAUAAUAAAUGUCUAACAUUUAUUUUUUAUCUUCCGUGGAUGUCUUGCAUAAUUUUAGGGUGGUGGUUUUUCUAGCAACUACUUAAGGAUUCAUUGCACAAAGUUGUUGACGAAAAGCAAAUUUCAGGGUCACAACUGAGCCAUGUUCUGAUGCCAACCUUUUCACAUUCCUCUAUCCUUUUGGGACUGGCUAUACAACUUGCAGCACCCAGUGCAAAAUGAGAGUGUGGGGCCUCUUGUUCAAAAAUGAAGAGUCCCAGGAAGGAGAUAGGGCCAAGCCUGGGGUCCUUCUGAGCAUGGGGUCCUGCAAGAUGGCACAGGUAUGCUUCCUUUUCCUCACUUAAGACAAGAUGCCUUUCCAGCAGGCUUUGUUAGUCAACUCAGUGGAGAUGGUCUUUAUAACUCUUUCCCAAAGUGUGGUUCAGUGGUAGACAAUCUGAUUUUAGAUGGUGCACAGAUGGACAUUUGUUUAGUGUAAUGGUUAUGUACCAAUGUGUUAUGAUAUAUGUAAUAGUUAUGCAAAUAGGCUUUAGGGAAAUACAAUUUGCACAUCAAUCAAUAACUUCAUGUUUAUUAUUGUUUGGGACAAGGCUAAGUUAAAAAAUGGAUUGAAUUAAAGAAAAAUAUUAAGUAAAUAAGAGUACGGAUGGUAUGCAGAUGUUGUAGAAAGCAUAAGAUGGUAUUUACAUGAUGGGAGUUUGGAAGCCGUGCAAAACUGAAUGGUUAAGGUGUCCUAAUGCCCUUAUCUAUUUGCGUAGCAUUCUUGGGCCACAACUGACCUUUGAUUUUUUGUCCUGGCAGAUCCCUUUUUUGUGUUUUCCUACUUGUCUGGUACAAGGUUUUCCAGUUUUGAAAAAGAAAGUCCACUGAAUCUGGAGUCUGGUAGUCCCCAGAAAUCCCAGGAUUCCACAGUCCGUGAUGGACCCCUUCACCCUACCCUUUCCUGACCCUAUUUUGCAGAUGGAGAAGACUCUUUCUUUACUAGGGGCAGAAAACGGAACCACAAAGCUCUUUCUACCAAUUUUGAGUUGACUUUCCACCCAAGCUUUUGCUCUUCCCAGUUUUAGACCUGUGCAUGCAAAAUUUUAGCAAAGAUCAUUCAAGACAACCGCCCGAAUUUAUACCCUUUAUUUAAUUAAAAUACUUUGGUUUUUUCAAUUUUUUUGAACGUUUAUUCAUUCUUGAGAGACAGAGCAUGAGUGGGGAUGGGGUGGAGAGAGACAGAGGGAGACACAGAAUCCGAAGCAGCUCCAGGCUCUGAGCUGUCAGCACAGAGCCCGACGCAGGGCUCGAACCACAAACCGUGAGAUCAUGACCUGAGCCGAAGUCGGACGCUCAACCGACUGAGCCACCCGGGCGCCCCAAAUUAAAAUACUUUUAAAAAUGUACAAAAUGAAAUUCCUAAUCUUAUUUGAUCUUAUCAACCUUCCAGGAAAGUGUUAGUAUAUCUCUAUUGCCAAGUGGCUUGCCCCGGAUUGCCCGGAGGGCGAGUCUGUGUAGGAAAGCUUGUAUAUAGCUCUUCCAGUUUCCAAAUGUGUAAUAUUUCCACCAUCCUUUGCUGGGGCACUUAACACCAGAGCUCCAGGAUUCUGUUCUAGAAUGAGAUUUCUUCCUAAAUUUAUCCAAGGCCAGUGUUCUACAUUCCCAACAGGUAUUAAUCUUAGGGACUUGGGAACAAGAAAUCCGAAUUCCUAGGAAUUCCCGAAGUCAUAAGGUAUUCUUAAAAUACUUCCAACGUUCUUUAUCCUCUGUACUCAUCAUGGACGUCUAAAAAGUGCUUGUUUAAUAAAUAUAUUUACUAUUGCUGAUGGAUUUAUCAAUGUUGAUUGUGAACAAGUAAGAGAUAUUAAGUUUGGUUGUACCAGCAAGAACUAUGAUCCACAGCAGAUAUUCAAACAGUAGAGAACAUUAUUGGGUACUCUUUAAAUGAUGUAACAUUUGGCUUUUCAAAACAGGAUAACGGCAGUACAUAGAAUCGCAUGUCAGUAUCAUCAGCUGAAGGACUCAUUUCGCCUCCCCAACUUGUUAUUUCUAGAAACGCUAUUCCAAGAAUUUAUAUCAAACAUUCCACGUGAUUAGACUUACUGAUAUUUGUUUUAUUUACAGGAACGACUCUGUUCACAGCACAGAGACCGUGGUCUGACCACAAGCAAGGCUGAUCAGACUGUGAUCUCUCCUGCGUGCUGCCGCCCUCCUAGUGAAGAUGCUGCCUUUGCACUUGCCCUCCACACGUCCCCGCUUCCCGAGAUUCCUUCGACUCAGCAACAUCUCUGCGUUGCUGAUCAAGUUUAAAUCUCUCAGGAGAUACUACAUUUCUCACCAUUUUCUUGAUUUCUCAGCCUAUUUUCCUUGGGAUUCAUUUAGAAAAGACGAUAAAGGUAAAAGAUACACUGGAAGAAAUUUCCAAAUGAAACACUACCUGUGCCGGGCAGGGAUCCAGGAUCCCAAGCAUCUGGGCGGAGCCCUUAGGUCAAAUUAUUUGUGUUCUGAGAAAGAGAAGGGCAACAAUUAAGUAAGGUUUUUAAAAGCACUUCCUGUUUUUAAGUAAAGAAUGCUUUAAGCCUCAUAUUAGGUAAUAAGCGUUCUACAUGGACUUAAAAUCCAGUCUUCCCAGGAAGAACUAUUAUUUAGGAGUUAAUUGCUGUUGCUUGUUCAGUCUUUCUGUGGCCGUCAGAUUAUUGCUGAGUGGGGGCCUCAUAAACAAGAAGCUUCCUAGCCUGUCCUCUCCAGACCAAAUGGACAUGUGUUUCCCAUUUCAACAUUUCAUUGCCCCAACUGAAAACAAAUCAGCUGUGUCUUUGGGAUCUGAAGGGGAGAAGGUUGGGAUUUAUUCCUGGACAAGCCUGAGGAAAACAUUACCCUAAUGGAUGAAAUAUGUCUGUACUAAAGACUUCUUAGAAGUGUUGAACUGAUCUUUCCCAACUCGAUCUCCUUUUCUUUGAAAAGAGAGAAAAUGCAAGAAAGUCCUUCGGUACUCUCCUAGAGCUUUGUCCUCAAAGGAGGAGUAAUGGAUACAACUUGCUUUGGUUUCGGUAAGCAUCAGAAGGAGUGGCCACUGUCUUUGGAGAUUAUUCACGCACCUUUGACAAUGUGGUCCAGAAGUCCCAUUCUCUGUUGGCCAUACACAGCAAUAGAAACCCACUUCCUGUUUUCUAAAGCCAAAUUCCUCCUUUGGUUCAGUUUUUCCCAAGAAGGCUCUCCCUGAUUUCUCAAUACUCAAUGUGGUCAGCAAGAAAAUUGGUGCUGGAAAAAAUAUUUGACUUUCUGUGUAGAAAAUAAUGGUCUCCUAAGACUGCAAGCCCACUGUGGAGGAAUUUUGGCUUAUUUUAUGUUUUGUACCCUAAUGGAGCACAGGAAAUAGGAAAAUAGAUUAUUUUCCUUGGAAAACCCUGAGUGUGUUUGGUUUAGCAAUUGGACAAUUUUUAAGAGUUCAAACUGGCCAGCACAACGUGGAGCCAUUCUCAAAACGGCAUGUCAGGGUCUGAAGCAUAAUUAGGAAAAUUCAUCAACACUAACGGCUUUAUGCUGAAAUCUGUGCGAUAGGACUGCCUGGCCAGCACAAUAUGUGGGUAUUUUUCUUUUCCGGGUUUCAUUUUGCCAUAAAAGACUUGGAAACGCAAAGAAACUGGAGAGAUGGCAUGCCCCACAGGGUCCCCAAGGACCCGCUAGCUAACCAGAAGCUGGCACCUUGCUUGUUUCAGUGCUAGGCCACUCAAGCAGUGAAGGUAUGUCAGAGUGGUAUAAAAAGUCUAUUUAAAAUUAUCCUGGGGCACCUGACUUUGGCUCAGGUCAUCAUCU
rnacentral:lncRNA from 1 species